rnacentral:lncRNA from 1 species
ACAUUGUUGCUGAACGAAGGCAUCUCUUUAUUUUCCAGAAAUAAAACUUGUAGACCUUUCCUGCAGGCUCUGAGGAGAUGGACACCUCUUCUUCUUCUGGACGAUCUCCGUCUCCUACUGGGACUGUCUUCUUACCCCCUCCUAUCAUGUGGAACAGUCUCUACAAGCAGGCAGAGAUGGAGGUUCACUUCCCGAGUGAAGAGAAGAAGACCUAUACAGAGAAGGAAGCCCACAUGCUUGAGUUGAGGGGGAAGGAUCGAAUGAUCCGAAAUCAGAAGAAGGAGAUGGACAGACUUCAAGUCUGCCUCUGGGAGGAGGAAAAGAAGAAGAGGAAUGGUGGAACGGAGAAGGACAAGAUCAUUGAACAAUUACAGUCUGAGACAGACCAUCUCCGAGCCCUUUUAAAAGAUGAAAGGAGGAGAAGAAGAGUAGAAAGGGGUAUCAUGGAAGAGUGGAAGGCUGAGAUCUUGAGACUGAGGGAGGCAGAGUGCCAGAGGGAGUCAGAGAGCCAGAGGGAGGCAGAGAGCCAGAGAGAUGCAGAGAGACAGAGAGAAGCAGAGAGACAGAGAGAAGCAGAGAGACAGAGGGAGGCAGAGAGAGAGAGGGAAGCAGAGAGACAGAGGGAGGCAGAGAGACAGAGGGAGGCAGAGAGACAGAGAGAAGCAGAGAGACAGAGAGAAGCAGAGAGAGCCACAGAAGCAAUGGAACACCAGAGAAAACUGCAGGAGAUCCACAGACUCAAACAACUGCUGGAUCUACUGAUGGUGGACCUACAACUGGCCCACGUAAGACAUGUCAUUGUUAUUAUUAAAAGGCAGUGUAUAUUUACCCAGCUGAAAAUGAAUAGUGGCAGACAGCGGUACGCUAACCCAAUGUUAACUUUUAUUCCUUUCCUUAACCUCACUGAAACUAUACCUAACCUUUACCUUAACCCAACCCUAGGUCCUGAACCUAACCUUCAUUUAUCUCAACCCCUAUGCCUUUCUUCUGCCAGUUGAAUAUCCACUUCCUUAUUAACGUCAUUACUGUUGUUGUUGUUGAUAACUGUAUCUGUGCAGGUUGUAAAUAACUGCAUUAGUGAAACAUCAUUUGUAGGAGUAAUUUCUACAAGCAUAAACAUCAGAGGCAACAUUGUUGUAACAUCACACAAAUUGUAACAGGAAUUUCUCAAACCCCUAACUGAAUGGGCAAGAAGGUUGUGUGUUUGUAUUUGUACACAUUUUGGACAUAAUUGAUUCCAUAAAAUGUCUCAUAAUUUUUUCAAACCAUGUCAAUACAUUAAUUGACAAUGAAUUGUCCAGAUGAAUUGAUCAACAUGACCCUGCUAUUGAUGUUGUCCAGUGUUUUAAUUAAUUCCUUAGCUCUAGGUUCCAUUUCUGUGUAUCAUUCUCUGCAAAUCCUUUGAAAGUAUGUCUUGGUAAUAGAUUAU